ensembl:lncRNA
CACACUUUAUAUCUAUUGUCAAAUAGAUAAAUGGCUGUUAGUCUGUUCACUCCAUGGCCAAAAGUAUGUGGGUCCAGACCACUGUGGCUGAUACUGUGACUAGAUCAACAGGCCCUGGGUCUAGACCACUGUGGCUGAUACUGUGACUAGAUCAACAGGCCCUGGGUCUAGACCACUGUGGCUGAUACUGUGACUAGAGCAACAGGCCCUGGGUCUAGACCACUGUGGCUGAUACUGUGACUAGAGCAACAGGCCCUGGGUCGAGAACACUGUGGCUGAUACUGUGACUCGAUCAGCAGGCCCUGGGUCUAGACCACUGUGGCUGAUACUAUGACUAGAUCAUCAGGCCCUGGGUCUAGAACACUGUGGCUGAUACUGUGACUAGAUCAUCAGGCCCUGGGUCUUGAACACUGUGGCUGAUACUGUGAUUAGAGCAACAGGCCCUGGGCUCAGACCACCGUGGCUGAUCAGUAAUCAUGGUUCAUCACUGGGCUGCUGUGAGUAAACUUCUAAUCACUGACUUUUCUCGUCACUACCCUCCUGACUCCUGUGUCACACUGUAUCUUGAAAGACUUUGGUUGCACGAUUCAGGCGGAGAGGAAGAGGCUAAUCUAGAGCGCUCACUCUCACCAAAAUAAAUCCAGAAUAAACCCAAAGCAUUUUUAUGGGCUUAAUAUGCAGACCUAAGCUUGUCGCCUGCCUUCCUGCUGCAAGACUGUCGAAGAUAAAUGCACAACGCAGAGGAUGAGAAGACUAGAAUUAACGAUUGAUGGAAAUUGUUGUUUUUUUAGUUCAAAAUCUGUUUAGAAUCUUAUAAGAAUGUCAGUCCUAAACUCAUAGCUACAGGGAUUAUGUUUUCAUUGGUCUGAGUCUGAAAUAGGAUACUUGUUAUUUGGCCAUUGGCCCAGUUUUAUUGCAAGGAAUUCUAAUUGGCCAACCACAGGCUAGGGCGGGGUUAUAAACUACAUCCUGUCCCUUUGUUCUGUGGAGAGAAUCACUGAGGACAGGGGAGCGUGGACAUCUACCAUCCACCUCCUUGCAUGAUUUGUUCUCUUUGAAUAAACCUAUUUUCCUCCCCCUGAUUUGCUAUGGAGCCUGUGUUACUGAAUAAUAUUUUUUUAAUUUAAACUUUAUUUAACUAGGCAAGUCAGUUAAGAACCAAUUCUUGUUUACAAUGACAGCCUACCGGGGAACAGUGGAUUAACUGCCUUGUUCAGGGGUAAAACGACAGAUUGUUACCUUGUCAGCUCGGGGAUUCGAUCCAGCAACCUUUACGGUUAAUGGCCCAACGCUCUAACCACUAACUACCUGCCGCAUCAACAUCAGCUGCUAACACUGCCUUUGGGACGACUCGUUUGGGUGGAGACAAGAACAUCUCAUCAUUAUAUACAGAUCUCUGACUAAGUUAACACCGACAUAAUAUUUUGGGGAUUGGUAGAGGUGACCAAUAAUGGCUGCAGUAGAGAUCAGGGGCCUCAUUUAUAAACGUUGCGUAGGCACCAAAGAAGGCACACGCCACUUUCUAAGCAAACUUUGGGAUUUAUAAAAAUAAAAAAACUUGACUGGAGAAUGUGCGCUCCUCCACGGCCCAAAUAAAAUAAUAAAUAAAUAAACUGGAGAUAUGAGAAACUGUGCCUCCGAUGGCUCGAGAAACACUUUGAACUUGAUACCAGUGUGUAAAAUAAAUCGAAAUAUAACCUCUCACAUAUUAUAUAUGAACACUUGAUUUAAGAUAAUAAAUACAAAAGAACCCCUCAAAUAUGUUGAACAGUUCAAUCAUAAAUAAAUUAUAAGACAAAUUACGUUUAAACUGAUGCCGUUUUCGAUGCCUCAGUCAGGCAGAUACAAUUGCAUAGUUUCAUAUACUGUUUAUCACUUGUUCGUUGUGAAGAACUGUCAAUGUGAUAAUGUCCCUGUCAUUGUCAGUUACAAUCAGAAUCAGGGUAAUUACCACACCUGAAGGUGUUACGCAAUCGGGUACCUUUGACAAUCAAAUGGGUGGGUAUAAAAAGGCAUGCAAUUACAAUGUGUAGUGAUGCACAGUGUCUGCUUUGGCUCUGUUGGACGAUUGGUCGAAUGGAAGAAUUCAGAGAGAGUGAAUUUUCAGAGACCGGCAAGAUUUACUGGACAAUUAUGAUGAGUGACUUAUGAGCCGGUUCUGAUUACCAAGAGCUAUUCUCUUGGAUCUCUGUGCUGUAGUUGGCCCAGCUUUGCAGAUAAGCACCCGCAGAAACCAAGCCGUGCCUGUCCCACUUCAAGUCCUGACAACCCUUGGAUUUCUGGCAACCGGCACUUUUCAAAGGGAAUUGUCUGACAGGUCAGGGAUCUCUCAGCCAACCGCUAGCCGCGUUAUGCCAGACGUGUUAGGAGUUAUAAUUGGAUUGACGCACCUCUACAUGGUGGGUGAACAGGCAAAUAAAGAAAAUGAAAUUUGAAGCAAUGUCCUGGUUUCCCCAAAUGUAAUCGGGGCUAUUGACUGCACUCAUGUUGCUAUUUUCUUUCAUUAAUCGAAAGUGUUAUCAUUCCAUUAAUGUCCGAAUCAUAUGUGAUGCGGACAUGCUACUGACUAGUGUCGGGGCCCAUGACUCAUUCAUAUGGAGAAACAGCAGCGAGGGGCACAGACUUGAGGCCGGAGCUGUGCGUGAUGGCUGGCUUCUAGGCAACAGUGGAUAUCCCCUCAAGCGGUGGCUGCUCACCCCUUUCACCAAUCCACAGAGAACAGAGGAGAGGAACUGCAAUGUGCGCCAUUGCCAGAUAUGUUGUGGAGCGCACCACCAGGCUUCUGAAGGGCAGAUGACGCUGAUUCCUCAGGCGGGAAACCUUUUAUGCAAGCCUGAAAAGGUCUGCGACAUCGUGAGCUGUGCUACAUAAUGUGGUACAGCUAAGGAAUGUGGCCCCUGACGCUGUUGGUUGUGUUGGCCCCAAUCCCGACCCCUAUCCCCAGGCAUUUGAACCAAACGCAGCUGCUGUGUGCCAGCAUGUGAAUGUGAUGCGUCGCUUGUAAGAACACAAGGACUGCAUCUGUGAGGACACAGCCGCUGGAGAGUUGUGACGCACGAGGUGUAGUGGAGACGGCUGGGCGCAAAAGGAGAUGAUUGUGGACUACAGGAAGAAAAGUACAGAGCACGCCCCCAUUCUCAUCGACGGGGCUGUAGUGGAGCAGGUUGAGAGCUUCAAAUUCCUUGGUGUCCACAUCACCAACAAACUAGAAUGGUCCAAACACACCAAGACAGUCGUGAAGAGGGCACGAUAAAACCUAUUCCCCCUCAGGAGACUGAAAAGAUUUGGCAGGGGUCCUCAUAUCCUCAAAAGGUUCUACAGCUGCAACAUCACUGCUUGGUACGGCAACUGCUCGGCCUCCGACCGCAAGGCACUGCAGAGGGUAGUGCGUACCUCCCAGUACAUCACUGGGGCUAAGCUGCCUGCCAUCCAGGACCUCUAUACCAGGCAGUGUCAGAGGAAGGCCCUGAAAAUUGUCAAAGACCCCAGCCACCCCAGACAAAGACUGUUCUCUCUGCUACCGCAUGGCAAGCGGUACCGGAGCGCCAAGUCUAGGUCCAAGAGGCUUCUAAACAGUUUUUACCCCCAAGCCAUAACACUCCUGAACAGGUAACCAAUGGUUACCUGGACUAUUUGCAUUGUGUCCCGCCACUCCCCCGCCAACCCCUCUUUUAGUCUGCUGCUAUUCUCUAGAUAUCAUCUAUGUAUAGUCACUUUAACUAUACAUUCACAUACAUAUUAACUCAACUAGCCCGACUAACCGGUGCCCCCGCACUUUGGCUACCUGGACUAUUUGCAUUGUGUGUCCCCCCUCCACCCCUCUUUUACACUGCUGCUACUCUCUCUACUCUUUAACUAUACAUUCAUGUGCAUAUUUUCUCCAUUAGCCGGACUAACCAGUGCCCUCACACAUUGACUCUGUACCAGUACCACCUGUAUAAAAGCUUUGUUACUGUUAUUUUCUGUGUUUUCUUUCUUUACUUAUCUAUUGUUUACCUAAAACCUAUGUUUUACUUAAAAAUCGCAACGUUGGUUAGGGCUUGUAAGUAAGCAUUCCAGUGUAAGGUCUACACCUGUUGUAUUCGGGGGCACAUGACAAAUCAACUUUGAUUUGUUAUCAGCUCAGCUGCAGCACCACCGACCCCUGCUGAAACAAUCAGCUCCUGCUGGAACACUCAGCUCCUGCUCCACUGUAGCACCACCGACACCUGCUGGAACACUCAGCUCCUGCGCCACUGCAGCACCACCGACCCCUGCUGGAACACUCAGCUCCUGCUCCACUGCAGCACCACCGACCCCUGCUGGAACACUCAGCUCCUGUUCCACUGCAGCACCACCGACCCCUGCUGGAACACUCAGCUCCUGCUCCACUGCAGCACCACCAAACCCUGCUGGAACACUCAGCUCCUGCUCCGCUUCAGCACCACCA